rnacentral:rRNA from 1 species
UGAUAAGUUACUAAGGGCACACAGGGAAUGCCUUGGCUCUGAGAGGCGAAGAAGGACGUGAUAAGCUGCGAUAAGGUACGGGGAUAAGCAAAUAUUAAUUGAUCCGUACAUUUCCGAAUGGGGGAACCCAAUACAUUGAAGAUGUAUUACCCGAAAGGGGGCAAACGCGCUGAACUGAAACAUCUAAGUAGGCGUAGGAAGAGAAAACAAUAGUGAUUUCCGGAGUAGCGGCGAGCGAAAUGGAAAUAGCCCAAACCGUAAUUGUUUCGGCAAUUACGGGGUUGUAGGACUACGAUAUGGAAUUAUAAAUUAUAGUGGAACAACUUGGAACGGUUGGCUAUAGAGGGUGAAAGCCCCGUACACGAAAUAUUUUAUAUACCUAGUAGUAUCCUGAGUAGGGCGGGACAUGUGAA